UCAAAUUUGAAAUCUGGCAGUCUUUUUUUUCUUCUUUGGCUGUCCGAGUUGUAAUCUAGAGAAGUGCUUACCUGCACUGGACCAUGUAUAAGUCUCCUGGAAUGGAGCGUCACAGAGGGUGAGAAUCCCGUCUUUGACAUGGACUGCCAGUGUGUUGUGGUGUGCUCUCAAAGAGUCGAGUUGUUUGGGAAUGCAGCUCUAAAUGGGUGGUAAACUCCAUCUAAAGCUAAAUAUUGGCGAGAGACCGAUAGUGAACAAGUACCGUGAGGGAAAGAUGAAAAGGACUUUGGAAAGAGAGUUAAACAGUAUGUGAAAUUGUUGAAAGGGAAACGCUUGAAGUCAGUUAUGUUGGCUGGGGAUCAACCUAGCUAUUUUUUUGCUGGGUGAAUUUCCUAGUCUGACAGGCCAACAUCAGUCUUGACUGCUGGAAAAGAGCAGAGGGAAUGUGGCACCUUUGGGUGUGUUAUAGCCCUUCGUCAUAUGUGGCAGUUGGGACUGAGGGAUGCAGCAUGCCGUGAGGCUGGGUCUUUGACCACGUUCAUGCUUAGGAUGUUGGCUUUUAAUGGCUUCAAUCGACCCGUCUUGAAACACGGACCAAGGAGUCUAACAUGCCUGCRAGUGUUUGGGUGGGGAAAACCCUUGUGCACAAUGAAAGUGAAAGUUGAGAUCCCUGUCAUGGGGAGCAUCGACGCCCGGACCUGAGCUUUUAGCGACGGAUCCGCGGUAGAGCAUGCAUGUUGGGACCCGAAAGAUGGUGAACUAUGCCUGAAUAGGGCAAAGCCAGAGGAAACUCUGGUGGAGGCUCGUAGCGAUUCUGACGUGCAAAUCGAUCGUCAAAUUUGGGUAUAGGGGCGAAAGACUAAUCGAACCAUCUAGUAGCUGGUUCCUGCCGAAGUUUCCCUCAGGAUAGCAGAAGCUCAUUAUCAGAUUUAUGUGGUAAAGCGAAUGAUUAGAGGCCUUGGGGUUGAAACAACCUUAACCUAUUCUCAAACUUUAAAUAUGUAAGAACGAGCUGUCACUUGACUGGACUGCUCGGUGAUUGAGAGCUUCUAGUGGGCCAUUUUUGGUAAGCAGAACUGGCGAUGCGGGAUGAACCGAUCGCAAGGUUAAGGUGCCAGAGUUCACGCUCAUCAGACACCACAAAAGGUGUUAGUUCAUCUAGACAGCAGGACGGUGGCCAUGGAAGUCGGAACCCGCUAAGGAGUGUGUAACAACUCACCUGCCGAAUGAACUAGCCCUGAAAAUGGAUGGCGCUUAAGCGUGACACCCAUACCUUGCUGUCAGUGUUGAAGUGAUGCACUGACAAGUAGGCAGGCGUGGAGGUCAGUGAAGAAGCCU
rnacentral:rRNA from 1 species